rnacentral:rRNA from 1 species
GAUGAACGCUGGCGGCGUGCCUAAUACAUGCAAGUCGAGCGAACAGACGAGGAGCUUGCUCCUCUGACGUUAGCGGCGGACGGGUGAGUAACACGUGGAUAACCUACCUAUAAGACUGGUAUAACUUCGGGAAACCGGAGCUAAUACCGGAUAAUAUAUUGAACCGCAUGGUUCAAUAGUGAAAUACGGUUUUGCUGUCACGUAUAGAUGGAUCCGCGCCGCAUUAGCUAGUUGGUAAGGUAACGGCUUACCAAGGCAACGAUGCGUAGCCGACCUGAGAGGGUGAUCGGCCACACUGGAACUGAGACACGGUCCAGACUACUAAGGGAGGCAGCAGUAGGGAAUCUUCCGCAAUGGGCGAAAGCAUGACGGAGCAACGCCGAGUGAGUGAUGAAGGUCUUCGGAUCGUAAAACUCUGUUAUUAGGGAAGAACAAAUGUGUAAGUAAAUAUGCACGUCUUGACGGUAACUAAUCAGAAAGCCACGGCUAACUACGUG